rnacentral:rRNA from 1 species
AUUGAACGCUGGCGGCGGCCUCACACAUGCAAGUCGAGCGGAUGAAGGGAGCUUGCUCCUGGAUUCAGCGGCGGACGGGUGAGUAAUGCCUAGGAAUCUGCCUGGUAGUGGGGGAUAACGUCCGGAAACGGGCGCUAAUACCGCAUACGUCCUGAGGGAGAAAGUGGGGGAUCUUCGGACCUCACGCUAUCAGAUGAGCCUAGGUCGGAUUAGCUAGUUGGUGGGGUAAAGGCCUACCAAGGCGACGAUCCGUAACUGGUCUGAGAGGAUGAUCAGUCACACUGGAACUGAGACACGGUCCAGACUCCUACGGGAGGCAGCAGUGGGGAAUAUUGGACAAUGGGCGAAAGCCUGAUCCAGCCAUGCCGCGUGUGUGAAGAAGGUCUUCGGAUUGUAAAGCACUUUAAGUUGGGAGGAAGGGCAGUAAGUUAAUACCUUGCUGUUUUGACGUUACCAACAGAAUAAGCACCGGCUAACUUCGUG